rnacentral:rRNA from 1 species
ACUCUAAUGAGACUGCCGGUGAUAAACCGGAGGAAGGUGGGGACGACGUCAGAUCAUCAUGCCCCUUAUGACCUGGGCAACACACGUGCUACAAUGGGAAGUACAACGAGUCGCAAACCGGCGACGGUAAGCUAAUCUCUUAAAACUUCUCUCAGUUCGGACUGGAGUCUGCAACUCGACUCCACGAAGGCGGAAUCGCUAGUAAUCGCGAAUCAGCAUGUCGCGGUGAAUACGUUCCCGGGUCUUGUACACACCGCCCGUCAAAUCAUGGGAGUCGGAAGUACCCAAAGUCGCUUGGCU